GACGAACGCUGGCGGCGUGCUUAACACAUGCAAGUCGAACGGAAAGGCCCUGCCUUUGUGGGGUGCUCGAGUGGCGAACGGGUGAGUAACACGUGAGUAACCUGCCCUUGACUUUGGGAUAACUUCAGGAAACUGGGGCUAAUACCGGAUAGGAGCUCCUGCUGCAUGGUGGGGGUUGGAAAGUUUCGGCUGUUGUGGAUGGACUCCCGGCUUAUCAGCUUGUUGGUGGGGGAGUGGCUUACCCAGGCUUUGGAGGGUAGCCGGCCUGAGAGGGGGAACGGCGACAUGAGGACUGAGGUACGGCGCAGAGUGCUACGGGAGGCAGCAGUGGGAAAUAUUGCACAGUGGGCGGGAGCCUGAUGAAGAGACGCCGCGUGCGGGAUGACGGCUUUGGGGUUGUGAACCGCUUUCGGCUGUGACGAAGCGUGAGUGACGGUAAUGGGAGAAGAAGCACCGGCUAACUACGUG
rnacentral:rRNA from 1 species